CCUACGGGUGGCAGCAGUGGGGAAUAUUGCACAAUGGGCGAAACCCUGAUCCAGCAACGCCGCGUGAAGGAAGACGGGCUUCGGCUCGUAAACUUCUAUCGAUAGGGACGAAAGAGAUGACGGUACCUACAUAAGAAGCCCCGGCUAACUACGUGCCAGCAGCCGCGGUAAUACGUAGGGGGCAAGCGUUAUCCGGAAUUACUGGGUGUAAAGGGAGCGUAGGCGGCAAGGUAAGUAAGAUGGGAAAGCCCGCAGCUUAAAUGCGAGGAUUGCAUUUUAAACUAGCUAGCUGGAGUACAGGAGAGGUAAGCGGAAGUCCUGGUGUAGCGGUGAAAUGCGUAGAUAUUAGGAAGAACACCGAUGGCGAAGGCGGCUUACUGGACUGUAACUGACGCUGAGGCUCGAAAGCGUGGGGAGCGAACAGGAUUAGAUACCCUUGUAGUC
rnacentral:rRNA from 1 species